UCCAGCUCGUCGCUGGCAGUCCCCAUAGAGUGCUCGGCAUCCUUUCGGACCCGGUCGCAACAAUGGGCAAUGGUUGCGCUCGUUUUGGCACUUAAGCCAACACCUCACGGCACGAGCUGACGACAGCCAUGCAGCACCUGUGCAAGCUCUCGACUGGUUACGAGUCGUCACCCUUUCAGGUUUCUACUUCAAGCAUGUCAAGCCUGGGUAAGGUUCUUCGCGUAGCAUCGAAUUGAACCACAUGUUCCACCGCUUGUGCUGGCCCCCGUCAAUUCCUUUGAGUUUCAACCUUGCGGUCGUACUCCCCAGGUGGAUCACUUAACAGGUUACCUACGGCACUGACCCACAAAAGUGAGCCAACACCUAGUGAUCAUCGUUUACGGCUAGGACUAC
rnacentral:misc_RNA from 1 species